GAUGGCCGUCCCCGUCACCUCUACGGUUGCCACUUCUGCGACCUCGCCGGCCCGCCAAGGGGACGACCCCAUGGACACGGACGACGUCGUUUCGUCUCAACCAGGGGCGAUCUGCCUGGACGAGGGUGACCAGGGGAGAGCUGACCUCGUCGUGGAGCCUGCCCAAGAGCCUGUCCUGGAGCCUGUCCUUGAGGCCGCUCUUCCUG